GUUUUUCAGGAAUAAAAUAAAAAUCCAGGUUAACGAAAAUUUCUUAGCAAUUUUCCCAACAGCCUGUUUAGAAACAUGAAGAUAGUUUUCCACAAUUCAUAUCUGGAUCAAUAGAAGUUCUAUUUUCGAUAGUUUUGAAAUAAACAGAAGUGCAAUUGUACCCAAACCAAAACAGCGUGUUAAAUUUUAACCCUGGGUUAGCGCUAAUCCACCUUUAAACAUGCAAGCGGUCCCAGGGGGGACUCAUUUUGGGCAGAUAAUAGAUAACUUAAGAUCUACGACGUCGACGUUAGCUAGGACGUCAGGGCUAAGCAGAGGACUGGGAUUACAUUAGGACAUCCUAGUCCCAGUCCUCUGCAUAGCCCUGACGUCCUAGCUAACGUCGACGUCGUAGAUCUUAAGCUAUCUAUUAACAGACUUGAGAGUAAAUUAAAAUAACUUGCCAAAAAAUGGACAGCCCGUAUCCAGCGAUAGGUCCGUGAGUCAACUUUCGGCUUCGGUGGUUAACACCAACUUCGGCCUUAAUAAUUUCUCAUAUCCUACUCGACUUCAUUCAAUAAUUGUUUAAUGUUCGCAGGUGCAGUCCGGGAAUAAACUUAUGUGGAAGUUAUUCCGCCGUUUACUCCCGGUGUGGAGGUAUUACCCCCUUUUACUCUCCCUUCCUUUCCUUUUUUGCUGGGGGAAAACUAACCCUCCUCUUUAUGAAGAGAGGUGCAUCACCUCGGUCUUCCCACGAUUCACUGACUAAACCCUACACUAUUUUUAACCAGAUGUAUGUGAACGAUUAAAGACACAUAAUAGUUUAAUAUGCAUACUGCAUUUUAAAUUUCGUUAUUAACUGAUGAGUGGCUAUAUAAGUAUAAUUUUAGUGUUAAUUUUGCAAAGAAAUGCGGACUAAAAUGGUUUGUAAGCACAGCACGCAACAACCUAUCCACACGCUGUAACCCAUGCAGUUAAAUCUUUGUAUCCAGUAACUUAUUGGGAUUGUAUAUAGGGUCAAUUGUUAGCCGUUGUAAUCGAUAAUCUCAUUGGCUUACAAGUAUACGUAUAUGCUUACAAUUACAGCGUGCGGAUUGGCUGAUUAGCUGCAAGAAGCUUUAAUCCAUUAUAGAGAUAUAUUAUAGCCACCUACAUGGCAAAAAACGCCGAGCCCGCUGCUUAACAGGAUUGAACGUUUUGCUGCCCACAUUGUUCACACUUGUCAACAAUAUUGAAAAAUAUUGUUGAGCCUGAAUCGGGUGUAACAACAUUGUUCAGUAUUGUUGACAACUGUGAACAAUGUGGGCAGCAAAGCAUUGUUCAAUCCUGUUUUCAUCAGUAUUGCAUCAAUCUGAGCGUUUUUACGCGUGUACGUGAGUUAUAGUUUUUAUUACACAUCGUUCAGCGGAGUACAGGAAAAAUUAAACUUAUUCUUCGUCUUCAACCAUGUAGGAAGGGUAGCUCAUGGUGUAUAAGUGGCAAAAAUUUGGAAACCUUUAAAACAGCUACCAAUCCUGAAUGGUCAAGCUAAGACUAAAGACUAAGACGAGGUCAAGCUAAGACUAAAGAAUAGUCAAGCUAAGACUAAAGACUAAGACGAGGUCAAGCUAAGACUAAAGAAUGGUCAAGCUACGACUUAAGACUAAGACAAGGUUGGUGUUAUCCACCAAGCUCAGACUAAAGCGAUAUUUCAUCAGUUUACACUACUUGUAUAAUAUAACACUAAAAUUAUGAACCAUGUUUCUAUUUUUGUUCUUAAGGACAGAGCUUAUUUAGAAAAUUAACUUCAAAUGGGAUAACCCGGAAAAUAAGCAUUUCCCAGGGAGGUGUAUUCGCGACGAUGUUGGCCAAGGAAUCUUUCAUUCCAGAUCAGGCAUACCUGAAAUUGAA